rnacentral:rRNA from 1 species
ACGGAGGGGGCUAGCGUUGUUCGGAAUCACUGGGCGUAAAGCGCACGUAGGCGGACCAAUUAGUUGGGGGUGAAAGCCCGGAGCUUAACUCCGGAACUGCCUCCAAUACUGUUGGUCUUGAGAUCGAGAGAGGUAAGUGGAAUUCCAAGUGUAGAGGUGAAAUUCGUAGAUAUUUGGAAGAACACCAGUGGCGAAGGCGGCUUACUGGCUCGAUACUGACGCUGAGGUGCGAAAGCGUGGGGAGCAAACAGG